AACGAGGCCGACCUGCGGCUGAGUUACCUGCGGAAGGAUCAUUACCGAGUUUACAACUCCCAAACCCCUGUGAACAUACCACUUGUUGCCUCGGCGGAUCAGCCCGCUCCCGGUAAAACGGGACGGCCCGCCAGAGGACCCCUAAACUCUGUUUCUAUAUGUAACUUCUGAGUAAAACCAUAAAUAAAUCAAAACUUUCAACAACGGAUCU
rnacentral:misc_RNA from 1 species